rnacentral:rRNA from 1 species
GUGGGGAAUUUUGGACAAUGGGCGCAAGCCUGAUCCAGCAAUGCCGCGUGCAGGAAGAAGGCCUUCGGGUUGUAAACUGCUUUUGUACGGAACGAAACGGUCCUGGCUAAUACCCGGGGCUAAUGACGGUACCGUAAGAAUAAGCACCGGCUAACUACGUGCCAGCAGCCGCGGUAAUACGUAGGGUGCGAGCGUUAAUCGGAAUUACUGGGCGUAAAGCGUGCGCAGGCGGUGCUGUAAGACAGGCGUGAAAUCCCCGGGCUCAACCUGGGGAUUGCGCUUGUGACUGCAGUGCUGGAGUGCGGCAGAGGGGGAUGGAAUUCCGCGUGUAGCAGUGAAAUGCGUAGAUAUGCGGAGGAACACCGAUGGCGAAGGCAAUCCCCUGGGCCUGCACUGACGCUCAUGCACGAAAGCGUGGGGAGCAAACAGGAUUAGAAACCCCGGUAGUCC